AGCGAACGCUGGCGGCAGGCUUAACACAUGCAAGUCGAGCGGGCACUUCGGUGUCAGCGGCAGACGGGUGAGUAACACGUGGGAACGUGCCCUUCGGUUCGGAAUAACUCAGGGAAACUUGAGCUAAUACCGGAUACGCCCUUUGGGGGAAGGUUUACUGCCGAAGGAUCGGCCCGCGUCUGAUUAGCUAGUUGGUGGGGUAAUGGCCUACCAAGGCGACGAUCAGUAGCUGGUCUGAGAGGAUGAUCAGCCACACUGGGACUGAGACACGGCCCAGACUCCUACGGGAGGCAGCAGUGGGGAAUAUUGGACAAUGGGCGCAAGCCUGAUCCAGCCAUGCCGCGUGAGUGAUGAAGGCCUUAGGGUUGUAAAGCUCUUUCGACGGGGACGAUAAUGACGGUACCCGUAGAAGAAGCCCCGGCUAACUUCGUGCC
rnacentral:rRNA from 1 species